rnacentral:rRNA from 1 species
GGAUUAGGCAUGCAAGUCGAGCGAGAAGUCUUUUUGCUUGCAUUAAGACGGACAGCGGCGAAAGGGAGAGUAACGCGUAGAAAUGUACCCCAAGGUCUGGGAUAGCGGCGGGAAACUGCCGGUAAUACCGGAUAAUGUCUCCGGACCAAAGUUUUUCGCCUUGGGAGCAGUCUGCGUACUAUUAGGUAGUUGGUGGGGUAAUGGCCUACCAAGCCUCAGGUGGUUAGCGGGCGUGAGAGCGUGGCCCGUCUCACUGGGACUGAGACACUGCCCAGACAACUACGGUUGGCUGCAGUCGAGAAUCUUCCGCAAUGGGCGAAAGCCUGACGGAGCAAUGCCGCGUGGUGGAUGAAGGCCCUCGGGUUGUAAACACCUGUCAGUAGGAAGGAAAUUUUGACCGAUCUACAGAGGAAGUCCGGGCUAAGUACGUGCCAGCAGCCGCGGUAAUACGUACCGGACGAACGUUAUUCGGAAUCACUGGGCUUAAAGAGUACGUAGGCUGCCAUGAAGGUGAGAUGUGAAAUCCCACGGCCCAACCGUGGAACUGCAUUUCAAACCACAUGGCUUGAGGGAGACAGGGGUAAGCGGAACUGAUGGUGGAGCGGUGAAAUGCGUUGAUAUCAUCAGGAACACCGGUGGCGAAGGCGGCUUACUGGGUCUUUUCUGACGCUGAGGUACGAAAGCUAGGGUAGCGAACGGGAUUAGAUACCCCGGUAGUCCUAGCUGUAAACGAUGAGCACUAGUUCGAGGGGACUUCCACAUCUUCUCGGACGUAGCGAAAGUGUUAAGUGCUCCGCCUGGGGAGUAUGGCCGCAAGGCUGAAACUCAAAGGAAUUGACGGGGGCUCACACAAGCGGUGGAGGAUGUGGCUUAAUUCGAGGAUACGCGAAGAACCUUAUCCUGGUCUUGACAUGCUUGAGAACGUCCGUGAAAGCGGAAAGUGCCCUUCGGGGAGCUCUUGCACAGGUGCUGCAUGGCUGUCGUCAGCUCGUGUCGCGAGAUGUCGGGUUAAGUCCCUUAACGAGCGAAACCCUUAUCUUUAGUUGCCAGCGCGUAAUGGCGGGGACUCUAGAGAGACUGCCGGUGUUAAACCGGAGGAAGGUGGGGAUGACGUCAAGUCCUCAUGGCCUUUAUGACCAGGGCUGCACACGUCCUACAAUGCAACAUACAAAGGGAAGCGAACUCGCGAGAGCAAGCAAAUCCCAAAAAGUGUUGCUCAGUUCGGAUUGCAGGCUGCAACUCGCCUGCAUGAAGCCGGAAUCGCUAGUAAUCGUGGGUCAGCAUACCACGGUGAAUAUGUUCCUGAGCCUUGUACACACCGCCCGU